rnacentral:rRNA from 1 species
AUUGAACGCUGGCGGAAUGCUUUACACAUGCAAGUCGAACGGCAGCACGGACUUCGGUCUGGUGGCGAGUGGCGAACGGGUGAGUAAUGUAUCGGAACGUGCCCAGUCGUGGGGGAUAACGUAGUGAAAAUUACGCUAAUACAGCAUACGAUCUAUGGAUGAAAGCGGGGGAUCGCAAGACCUCGCGCGAUUGGAGCGGCCGAUAUCAGAUUAGGUAGUUGGUGGGGUAAAGGCCCACCAAGCCAACGAUCUGUAGCUGGUCUGAGAGGACGACCAGCCACACUGGAACUGAGACACGUUCCAGACUCCUACGGGAGGCAGCAGUGGGGAAUUUUGGACAAUGGGCGAAAGCCUGAUCCAGCCGUUCCGCGUGCAGGAUGAAGGCCCUCGGGUUGUAAACUGCUUUUGUACAGAACGAAAAGGUUUCUACUAAUACUAGGAGCUCAUGACGGUACUGUAAGAAUAAGCACCGGCUAACUACGUGCCAGCCGCCGCCGUAA